CCUACGGGAGGCAGCAGUGAGGAAUAUUGGUCAAUGGACGCAAGUCUGAACCAGCCAUGCCGCGUGCGGGAUGACUGCCCUAUGAGUUGUAAACCGCUUUUAUACGAGGAUAAAACUCGCUACGUGUAUUCAGUUGCCCGUAUCGUAUGAAUAAGCAUCGGCUAACUCCGUGCCAGCAGCCGCGGUAAUACGGAGGAUCCGAGCGUUAUCCGGAUUUAUUGGGGUUAAAGGGUGCGGAGGCGGUUUUAUAAGUUAGUGGUGAAAUGUCGGGGCUUAACCCUGAAUUUGCCUCUAAUACUGUAGUACUAGAGAACAGAUGCGGUAGGCGGAAUGAAUGAAGUAGCGGUGAAAUGCUUAGAGAUAAUACAGAACACCGAUAGCGAAGGCAGCUUACCAAACUAUAACUGACGCUGAGGCACGAAAGCGUGGGUAGCGAACAGGAUUAGAUACCCCAGUAGUC
rnacentral:rRNA from 1 species